rnacentral:lncRNA from 1 species
CAAGAAAUAACCGGGAAGAACUCUGGAUCACUUCAGUGCUAUGUGUGAACACGGGUGGUUCAGCUCUGGGUGCAGCAUGAGUAGCUGUUGGGGAAAAAGGCACCAUGGUCGUGUUUGUACCUCCCCAGCCUACCCACUGAAGUGUUUAGGAUUCCCACUGGAUCCACUUUGCCUCUGGAUGAUCAUCUCCCAAAACAUCUCUGCUCUUGGAAAGCCUCAACAGAAUGUUCUGCAAGAGCUGAGCAGGGAGCAGUUGGAGACCACAGCUGUGAGUGUCCGGGCAGAGCUCCCUGAUCCGUCGUGGUGCAC